rnacentral:misc_RNA from 1 species
UAAUAAGUGUUUUAUGGCACUUUUUAAAUCCAUAUCCACCUUGUGUGCAAUGUCAGUCGAUCUUCUUCAUGGAGAUCGACCAAACAUCAACCUUUAUCUUUUAACUUUUUGUCUGAAAAUAUUAUGAAUAAACAAUUCAAAAUA